CUCUCUCUCUUUUUGCCUGUACCUGACUGAUCAUGUAGUACCAGCUCUGACUUAGCCCCAGCCCUUUGGCUGGGGCCUUGUAAGUAAUAUGAAUCCAUUGUAACAUUUAGCAAUUGUAAUAGCCUUUUGUAUAAUAUUUAGCAACCAAUAGCGUUUUGUGUAGUAUUGUAUUGUAUAAUUAUUGUGGUAAAUUGACAUUCCGCUAGCAUCUGUUUAUUUAUUAUAGUUAUAUUAAAUAUACAUUUAAUAUUACAACGUUUUGUGUAUUUUCUAUCCACAUAUUCGACCAUAAUACCAUGAAUUAUAAAAAUAUUAAUGUUGUUCCGUAUUGCUUAAUUAUUAUGUAUUAAGAGAUUAAUAUUCAUAUUUAAGUCACGACCACAACAAUACCUAACUUCUCUAGCCUAACAAGCCUGUUUUUCAUAACCUCAGAGUCAUUGGUAGCUAUGAUUAAUCUUUUAGAUAUUUUUUUUCAGUAAUUAAGUCCAAUAUGUGUACUAAGGGUUUUUUUAAUAUCAUAAAUUGCCAGUUUUCUAUGCUGUAUUACUAUUUGAAUCACAGAAUCCCUAGGAGCUAGUGUGGAACAGUUGAUACAUUGUUUUUAUCAUUAGAUUAGUAUGUAACAUCACAGUUGUUGUUAUAGGUCACCAUGGUGAUGACCCUUGGCCGCGUCAUUGAACGUGACGCCGUGCGGCUGCAGACGCACGUCGGACAGCCCGCGGCAGUCCCGGUCCGGUCGUCCAUGGAGUCAGAGGUGUCACAAGUGUGGUGAGUGAUUAUUAUUGCUUAUGUUAUAAAUGUGGGUAUAUUUGUGCACAUGGUAUGUCCUGACGAAAGCUUGAGGGGAUUAGGCUGAAACGUUGACACUUUGGAUGUUUUAGCAAAAGGUAAUAAAAGUUAAUUUUUAUAAGUCCCUGGAGUGCUAUCUUUGGAAUUUCUUUGUGUUUUGGCUGACAAGCACCGGGCAUUGAAGAUUGAGAAAGGUGGAGUGCAAGAUUUUUUCUAUUUUUUUUAUAUAUAUAUAGUUAAUACAAUGUUAAACAAAAAUCUGCACACCAGUCAUGCCAUAAGACCUUCUUUUCCCACAGAAAUCCCAAAUCUGCAGUGAUGUUACAACCGCAAAGGAUUCUGGGUGGGCAUUGCAAAUUAGUUUAACAAAGAAUCACAUUUUUGCCUCAUUCCAUUUUAAACAUGGUUUCGUUUUAAUCUGUAUUUGCAGUAUACAAUUGCUUGGAACACAAUUUAGGAAAAGAUGCAAAACCAAUGAACCACUCAGCUGUUUCGUUGUUAAUGCAACUCAUCAGCAUGAGGUUGGUUACUGGUUUGCUUAUUGAGGCUUGGAAUUGCUUGGGAAGCAAAAUCCAAACAGGUUAUGGUGGGGAAAAAUUGUGAUUGAAAACCCCUUCCAUCUGAAGUCUGUGGAUAGUUAAUACAAUGUUAAACAAAAAUCUGCACACCAGUCAAGCCAUAAUACUUGCUUUUCCCACAGAAAUCCCAAAUCUGCAGUGAUAUAUAUAUAUAUAUAUAUAUAUAUAUAUAUAUAAACAUGUCUAACGAGAUUUUAUAUAGAGAGAGAUUUUUUUUUUAAAUUAGCAUGUUCUUUUAAGUGAUAUCUUUAUACAUAACAACUAGACAUGUGCAAUUCAUUUUGUUCCGAAUGUGAAUUCGGACGUAUUUUGGGCAAUUCAGACAUUUCGGAGAUUUCCCAAUGGCUGAAUUGCUGAAUUGCCGAAGUUUCGAAAAUCCGAUAUUGCUGAAGUUCUGAAGCGCAGUAUUGCCGAAGUACUAAUAUACCUACCGAGUGGAAGAAUGAAGUAUGUUACACUGUAUACAAGUUUAAAUAAAAAGUAUACAAACAUAGCCAGGAUUCUGCUGUAAGCAUUUGCAACACUUACAACAAUCAAGUAACACACAUUCAUAUAAAAUGUAAGUUACUUAGCCAGUCAAUGGAAUGACAGGAAUGAAUAAAUAGAUAAUUCCCACGGUAUUAGGGAGCUAUCUACCAAAAGGCUGAAAGACCUAAAUUGGUCUUUCAGACAAAUUUACUAAUACCAAGUAAAGAUUAAACUGCAAGGGAAGUAAUUAAUGAGUGCUUCCCUGGGUGGCCCGCCAGGGUGAACAUUUAGAUCCUGAAAGGAGACGCUUUCCUUGCCUGGUUUCACACAGGGAUCUUGUGAACGAAGGUUGGUCGCGACAAGUACCGUUGUGGGGGCCCUAGGGUUGGUGUGGGCAUCCUUUGGGGACAAUGGGGGGGGGGGGGGGUUUGGUGGGCUUCCUGUAGCUGGGAGUUUCCCCCCGCUGUUACUUACAAGUACAGAGGCUCAUGGGAAGGAGACCCUAUAUGGUGGGCUUUCUAUGCCUGGGAGACAAAGUGACAAUGACUACCCUCUUUCGCACUUGGUCUCCCAGGCAUGGAGGAUCCUAGCGGAACUAGCAGGGGUAACCGGUCGGGGUUACCCAUGGUCCGCUACAUUUGAUGGCAACGGUGGGAUGCUCCUUCCCAGUCAUGCGGAACCAGUGUUCGUGAACAGCACUGACUGAUGGACUACUCCACGUUAAAGCAACAGAUGUUGCAGGAGGUGCUAGAGGGGAAUCAGCCGGCAACUGACCCAAGACAGACCUGGUCGCUGCCCUCAUGGAGGAUGACCAAGUAUGUGGCGCGGCUGCUGCACAGCAACCGGGGGGUGAGAAGGAUGCCCUGGACAAGGUAAUGGAUCGUCGCCUGGCAUACUACGGUUAGAGGCCCUCUGCGGAGAUCAUGACCCAGAUCUUUGCCGAGGCACAAGCCUAUGUCUUGGCGCAGAGGGCAUGAGCAAACCCCACAUCCAACCCCGAUUAGCGGGCUGGGGAAGUCCCGGGUGGUCUGGCCGCUCCAGAGCCCAAGCCCAAACUACCCUACCAAGCCUUCAAAAAGUUUGCAGAGGCGGAAGAAGGUAUAGAUGACUUUUUGCAUGACUUUGAGCUCCAUUGCCUGCUACAUGAGAUUGCCCCAGCCGAUUUGGUUCCCCUCCUGGCUGGGAAACUCACGGGAAAAGCUGCGGAUGCUUACCUUGAUGUACCCGAGGAAGAUCUGCAGAACUAUGCCGCUGUGAAGCAAGUCCUGUUGACGAGGUAUGCCAUCACCCCAAAGGAAUACCGCUGAAAGUUCAGGGAACUGAAGAAGGUGGCCCAGGACUCCCAUGCGAAGUGGGCUUGCCGCCUGAGCAAGGCAGCCCAAAGCUGGGUGCAGUCCCAGCAGGCGAAGACUCCUGAGGAAGUGCUGCAGCUGUUCCUGCUGGAACAUUUCUACAAUGGGCUACCCACAGAGAUUCAAGAUUGGGUAAGAGACCGACAGCCUAAGACUUAAACUGAAGCAGCACAAAAAGCAGAUGAAUACCUGGAUACCAGGCGACCCCAGCGUCCGGUUUCCACCCCAAUCCACCAACCUCCAGUAUGCCUGGCACCCCAGUUUACCUCCCCUGCACCUAUCCCACCCUGAGGUUCUCCAGCUCCCGCACCAGUUCCAAGAGCGCCAAGCUGGGCAGCCGGUCCAUGUCAUCAGUGCCAACAGUGGUGCCAUUACAAGUGGGAGUGCCCCCAGCUAAGGGACCGGUCCGCGUGGAUCUGGCCAAGGAGCCCUCCUGGCACUGCCCACUAUUAUCAGGCAGCCCCACCCAUGGGCCCAAUCCCAAUGAGGAAGCUUGGAGCGACCUGCAUGAGGUAGACCCCAUACAGGCUGCCUCCGAUAACCUAGACCAUCACGACAACUGGUUCACCUAAAUGGACGCCCCAUGCAGGGUAUACAAGAUUCGGGAGCCACCCUGACCCUGUGCAGCAUCAGCUCAUCGCAGAGAAGGUCAAGACCAGAGGGACAGUGGCUGUCCAGGUGGCAGGGGAAGUCGUCCAUCGCCUGUCCACAGCCCGGGUCCAUCUCGAUUGUGGAGGCGGAUAGUGGAGGUCGGGCUCAUGAACAACCUACCCGCCAGUGUGCUGCUGGGCAACGACCUGGGUCAGCUCACCUCCACCCAUGUCCCAACCAGUGAACCUGUGGAGGCCUAUCGAGUGAUGACCUGGCAGCAAGCCCACACCACCCAGGACAGCACGCACUCUGAGGCUUAGGUAGGCACACGCACCCAUCCACAUGCCCUGAUCUCCCGUAGGUGUACCAGGAGCACACCCUAUUCCCCGUGGCCAUUCCCCUACCUUGAACCCUUACCCUGGGAUACCCCUGCCGAGUUUGGGAGUUAGUGUUCGACUUUAAGUCCUGUAGAGAUCAGGUGGCCACUAGUCGAGCUGGGUUGUCUAAGUAGUGGUUCACGUAGAAAAAGGGUUUACUGUAUGGCCUGGUAGAAAAAGGAAAGCCAGGAACCACUCCUACCACCAAACAGUUGGUGGUACCCAGGAAGUAUUGAAAGGAGCUACUGAAGAUAGCUCACGAUAUCCCUCUGGCAGUGCAUUUGGGACAGGGUCUGACGCAUGCCCAACACAGGCAUCUCCCGGAACGUGAAACAGUACUGUCAGGUGAUGUCUGCCAGAAGGUGGGGAAGCGCGGCAACUAACACAAGGGCACACUCCAUCCCUACCCAUCAUUGAAGACCCCUUCGGCAGAGUAGCUGUCGAUAUCUUAGGUCCCCUGGCUAAGCCUAGUCCCACUGGGUAGAAAUACAUUCUGAACAUCGUGGACUACGCAACUCGGUACCCUGAGGCAGUCGCCCUGAGCAAUAUUCAGGCAGAGACUGUAGCCGAAGCCCUGAUGCGAGUGUUCUCCCGGAUGGGAUUACCCCGGGAGAUUGUCUCGGAUCGGGGCACCCAGUUUACUGACGAGGUAACCCACCAGCUGUGGAAGUUAAGCAGCAUUAAACCGAUCCUGAGUUCCCCAUACCACCCCCAGACCAAUGGCCUGUGCGAACGCUUCAAUGGCACGUUGAAGCAGAUGCUCAGUACCUUUGCCGCGACUCGCAAGGACUGGGAGUGAUUCUUGCUGCAUCUCCUGUUCUCUUAUUGGGAGGUGCCCCAGGACUCCACAGGGUUCUACCCGUUUGAACUGAUGUUCGGACAGAGGGUGAUGGGACCCGUAGACCUGGUCAGGGAGCACUGGGAGGAAAAGGGGGAGCAGGAAGGGACCCUCAUCGUCCCAUAUGUGCUGGAGUUUAGGGACCGGCUGGAGGAGCUCACUCACCUGGUGCGUGGGAACCUCCAGGUUGUUCAGAGGCGCCAGCGCACCUGGUAGAAUAGGGGAGCCAGGGACCAUAGCUUUCACAUCGGUCAGAAGGUUUUAGUGCUAAAACCAGUCUGGCAUGAUAGGCUGCAGGCCACCUGGCAGGGCCCAUACUGGGUGGUGGACAAGAAGUUUGCCACUACCUAUGUGAUCGGCCCUUGCUUGAGUACAGGAGCUAGACACAUGUUUCAUGUUAACAUGCUAAAACUAUACCACGAGCGGACCAAGGAGGUUGCUGCUAUAUGUGCGCCCUCCUCGGAAGAUUUUGAUAAUCUUCCCCUGCCUGACCUCAUGGAGCUCAGGCAGGGUCCAUAGAUGAGGUCCACUUGGUGGACUGGCUGACCGAGCGGGAGGACCGGCAAUCGAGGCAGCUGUUGGCUGCAAAGCGGGAGACCUUCUCAAACCUGCCAGGCUGUACCCCCCUAGCCAAACUCACUGGGUAGAGACCCCCGUCCAGCAACCCCUGAAGCAGACCCCAUGCUGGAUACCGGAGGUGGGCAUCCCCAGUAGUCCUGGUCCUGAAGCAUGACGGAACCACGCGGUUCUGUGUGGACUACAUGAGUCACAAUGACAAGACUGUCUCCGAUGCCUACCCCAUGCCCCGCAUUGACGAGCUCCUAGACAGGAUGGCUCUGGGCUAGUACCUUACCACGAUAGACUUAUGCAAGGGGUACUGGCAGAUUCCCAUAGCGGUAGAUGCUGUCCCCAAGUCUGCCUUCGUCACCCACUUUAGCCUGUACCAAUUUAAGGUAAUGCCAUUCGGGAUGAAGAACGCCCCGGCCACUUUCUAAAGGAUGGCCUCCAGGAUUAUGUCUGCGCCUAUCUGGAUAACAUUGCCAUAUACAGCGACACUUGGGAGGAGCAUCUAACACAUGUAGGAGUGGUACCAGAUCGGAUUAGGGAGGCAGGACUAACCCUAAAGCCCAGUAAAUGUAACAUAGGGAUGGCCGAGGUACAAUACCUGGGCCACCGGGUAGGAUGUGGGAAGCAGAAACCCAAGCCAGCCAAGAUUGAGGCAGUAGCGAACUGGCCCCAUCCCCACACUAAGACCCAAGUGCUGGCCUUCAUAGGAACCACUGGAUACUACAGAAAAUUUGUCCCCAGUUCCAGUGCCAUAGCCAAGCCCCUCAUGACCUGGUCCGAAAGAACCUACCCAGACAAGUAAACUGGGCCCCGGAGUAUGAGCAGGCGUUCAAAGCCCUGAAGAACGCCCUGAUAAAUGCCCCUGUCCUGGCUGCUCCUAAUCCUCGCAAAUGUUUUCUCAUCCACACAGAUGCUUCUAUGUUUGGAUUAGAAGCGGUGCUGAGCAAGAUCGGGGACGAUGGCAGAGAACACCCAGUAGCUUACCUCGGCAGGAAGCUACUACCCAGGGAGGUAAACUACGCUGCCAUUGAGAAGGAGUGUCUAGCGGUGGUGUGGGCACUCAAAAAGCUGCAACCCAAUAUCUAUGGACAGCAGUUCACCAUGCUCACAGAUCACAACCCGUUGGCUUCACAGGGUCGCAGGAGACAAUGCCAGGCUGUUCCGAUGGAGCCUGGCACUCCAACGCUAUGACUUCACCAUCCCCUUCCGAUCCGGUGGGCAAAAUGGGAACACCGACGGGUUGUCAAAACAGACAGAACUGAAGAAGUGAUCUGUGAGCCCUCUCAAUGACAUCCACAAACCGAUCCGUUGAGGAUCUGACUGUGUAUGCGGCUAGUGGUUAAGGAGGAGCUGUGUGAUAGAACCCCGGUUGUUCGUGUAUUCCCCCUGUCUUUAUGUGUACUACCCUGUGUAUUUGUGCAAAUUGCCUGCUCCUCGUUAGGGAGUGCUCCACGAAGGGAAUCCAUUCGCCUCCUGAAGGGGACCACCCCAAAAAUCCAUUUAGAACGCUCAUUAGAACGUUCUCACCUAUACCUGAUGCCAAAACUGCAAGGGAAGUCUUGGCGCAUGUUGUCUCCUGGGUGGCCGCCAGUUCGUAUAGACGAACGCCAUCCAGGUGAAGCAUUUGUGAACUGCUUCUCACCCCAUUCAGUUUCCAAACUUGGACCUACCCAGUACCCAUUGGAAUGUUCGCACCAAUCAAUUAGAACGUGAACAACUUGCAACAUAACUGUGACACCACAAGAGAAGUAAUUAAUGAGUGCUUCCCUGGGUGACCAGCAUUCGUAGAGACGAACGCCGGCCAGGGGGAGCAUUCAUAUCCCGAAAGUAGACGCUUCCCUAGUCUGGUUUCAUACAGGGACCUCGCGAACCGGGCUGGGGUUAGAAAUGGAUCUCUGUACAUUUUAAUUGGUUCCUGACUGGCUGAAAGAGAACUACCGGAGGUAACACCUACCUUUCUAUCUUAACAGAGUUUGGGGGGGAGUUACCUGUCAUAUUGCUAAACAAUCUAGCUUGUCUUAUGAUGCCUUUGCAAUCAUACCAUGGGUACUGCCAUAUUAUCCUACAACCCUGAGAGCCUCCUGGGGAAUUAAUCUGACAAGCACAUUGCUAGAGCCUUAUGGUCGCUGUUUGUUUUGUUUUUAAUUUAUCUGAAUCUAGCAUGUCACAUUUCUCUACACCUUAGUCUAGUAUGUCUUUAAGCAUGUCAUUACAUCUUCUAGUCAUAUCAUAUAAUCAGUACAUAGUGCUUGUUUUGAUUAUUUACCAAUAGAGAUGUUGCGAACUGCUCGCCGAACUGUUCGCGAACUGUCCGCCGGUGAACAAUAGCGUGUUCGCGUUGGGCGAACAUAUCCGAUUUCCGGUCCGCCCCCUAUUCGUCAUCAUUGAGUAAACUUUGACCCGGAACCUCACAGUCAGCAGACACUUCCUGGGAGGGAGGGUCUGCUGCUGAUUGGCUGGAAUGUGUCUGCUGACUGUGAGGUUCAAAGUUUACUCAAUGAUGACGAAUAGGGGGCGGACCGGAAAUCGUAUAUGUUCGCCCAACGCGAACACGCUAUUGUUCGCCGGCGGACAGUUCGCGAACAGUUCGGCGAGCAGUUCGCGACAUCUCUAUUUACCAAGUCUCUUAAUUAAUCUACUGACAUAUUUUGCCUGCAUGAGUUUAACAUCAAAAAGGUGCGAUAUUCAACUUUGCUACAUUUCAUCCAUUAUUCAUGUCUAGUAUGUCUUUAAGCAUGUCAUUACAUCUUCUAGUCAUAUCAUAUAAUCAGUACAUAGUGCUUGUUUUGAUUAUUUACCAAUAGAGAUGUUGCGAACUGCUCGCCGAACUGUUCGCGAACUGUCCGCCGGUGAACAAUAGCGUGUUCGCGUUGGGCGAACAUAUCCGAUUUCCGGUCCGCCCCCUAUUCGUCAUCAUUGAGUAAACUUUGACCCGGAACCUCACAGUCAGCAGACACUUCCUGGGAGGGAGGGUCUGCUGCUGAUUGGCUGGAAUGUGUCUGCUGACUGUGAGGUUCAAAGUUUACUCAAUGAUGACGAAUAGGGGGCGGACCGGAAAUCGUAUAUGUUCGCCCAACGCGAACACGCUAUUGUUCGCCGGCGGACAGUUCGCGAACAGUUCGGCGAGCAGUUCGCGACAUCUCUAUUUACCAAGUCUUUUAAUUAAUCUACUGACAUAUUUUGCCUGCAUGAGUUUAACAUCAAAAAGGUGCGAUAUUCAACUUUGCUACAUUUCAUCCAUUAUUCAUAAACUUGUGCUGUCAAUCUGCAUGCCACAUUGAAUUGUUAAACUGUUUGUCAUUACUGAGCUUCUCGAUGUUGUGGCAUUGUCAGCUCAUCUGUUAUUCUUUCCACAACAAAAAUAAAAAAUAUUUAAAAAAAAUAAAACUAACCCUCCAACCACAAAAAUCAUUAAAUAUAAGAAGCAUGGCCUGUGUAUGUGCCAAUCUGUCAGCGUGUGUGUGUGUGUAUUUGUCACUGUGUAUCUAAGUGUGUGUGUGAGUGUGUGUGUGCCAGAGUGUGUAUAUCAAGUUAUGUGUAUUUGUCAGUAUGUGUAUGUGCCAGUGUGUAUCUGUGUGUAUAUGUCACUGUGUGUAUCUGAGUGUGUCUAUAGCUGUGUGUCAAUGUGUGUAUCUUUGUCAGUGUGGGUGUGUGCCAGAGUGUGUAUAUCUGUAUGUAAGUGUGUAUAUCUGCCACUGUGUUUAUCUGAGUGUGUGUGUGUGUAUUUGUGUGCCAGUGUGUGUAUAUCUGAGUCAGUGUGUGUAUGUGCCAGAGUGUGUAUCUGUUUGUCAGUGUGUGUUUCUGUGUGUGUGUGUGUAACUGUGUGCAUCUGGGUGUUUAUGUGCCACAGUGUGUGCAUCUGAGAGUGUGUGUGCCAAAGUAUGUAUAUCUGUGUGUCAGUGUGUGUAUCUGGGUGUGUAUGUGCAAAUGUGUAUAUUUGUGUGUACAUGCCAGUGUGCAUCUGUGUAUUUGUCAAGGUUCGUGCAUCUGUGUGUGUGCAUGUCAGUGUGUGUAUAUGUAUGUCUGUCUAUACAUCCCAGCAAUCAAACACCAAUACAACAUGCAAACACAUCCCUGCAAACAGAAACAUUACUUAUAAACACACCCCUGAAUUCAAACUCCAAAAUUAUAUACAAACACACCCUUCGCUCAAACACCAAUACUACACAUAAAUGUAAAUCUGCAUUUAAAAGCCUAUGUCCAAACACACCAAUGCACCCAAAUGCAAACAUUAUAUACAAACACACCAAUAUAUUAAAACACUAAAAUUAUAUACAAACACCAACACUACACAAAAAGGAAAUGCUACUAAGUACUACAACCAGUUUACUAUCUGGAAACAAAAGUGUGUGUAAAACACUUUUUUUGUGUGUGUGUGUGGGGGGGUUCCACGAUGUUUGUAUCCUAUGUCAAAGAGUUCCACAGGGAAAAUGAAUUAGGAACCACGGGCGUAUUGAAUGGUGAGUGUGUUGGUUCCUUUCUGCAGUAGCUUAUAUGACUGGGGCCUGCCUCCUUGUCUUGUGAAAGAGGGUAUUGUUUAAUAUAAACUAGAGAGGAGUCUUAUUUGAAAGGGGUCUGGUAUGGGGUAUAAGAUAUGUAACCAGGGUCAGUCGAAGAAGUCACCCAAAGAGUAAAUAGUGCCAAAUGAUUCAGGUUCAGACCAUGGUAGGUACGCCACUGUUUUAUUGAUUACUGCACCAUUGUAAAGGUGUUAUUCUGCUAUAUUGUAAUCAAGACCAUUAUAAUACAUUUGAGAUACAGCAAGUCAAUGCCUUUGAUAGCACAAAAAGUAGUCAAUACAGUAGCCGAACUGCACAAUUUUGAAUAUUCCAAGGUUAUUUGUAGCUGGUUAUUAAUAUUCUGAAAUUACAUUUUGAUUCCAGUUCCAUUCUCUGUUCUUUGGAGAAAUUUCAUCUCAGAGAAAAGAAACCAUGGAUCAGGCCUUGUAUAGUUUGGCAACAGCAAGUGAUGAAGAGGAAGAAUCUUGUGUGCAGCUUUCUCAGACGUUCUAACAUAGUUUAUGGCUUCCUGGUUAACGGUUAGAUAUACUAUUAUGUUAUGUCCAAAUGUUCAUGUGUUCAACAAUAAAAAAGUGCAAGAUAUAUACUGUCCAAAUAUUUAAAACUGUAGCUUAACUGUAAUUAAGAUUGUACAAUGCAGAGUGCAGUAUUUUAAAAUGAGAUAGAACAAGAGUGUAAGCCAUAGAAUAAAUGCAAAAUGUACCCAGUUAAGAAAUAUUAGUAUUGGAAUCAGUGGAAGAAAAAUUUGAAUUUUAAAACUUAAACCUUUAAUGAUUUAUGAUUAAAAUAUUUGCUUUGAUAUAUAUCAAUACCUUCACCAUAAUAAAAUCAACAACUAUGGUUGUUUAGAUAGAGUAUCAACUAGGAUUGUUAGAAGAGUGAAAUCUAGUGUUAAUCCUUCACUUUCAUGUACUUCUGAUAGUUUGUGCAAUAUAAAGAAGCAACCAAGAUCACUGUUGGUAGUUGGACUUGUAUUAACCCUUCUAUUGCUACUUAGAAAAUAGAGUGUGAUAGAAAUAAAUUUGCAGCCAGGGAUCGCUGUUUAAAUAGAAGAAAAGUUAACCCUUACUUGGCUCUCUCUUAAAAUUAAAGUUUACAGAGUUAUAAGUAGCAAGCACGAUCAUAAUUUUUUGUUCAGUUUGAUGAAGAACUUUAUUUUGCUACUAUUGUGAAUUAUUAAAUCCGAUAGAGCUCCAGUACCGGUAGUUGCAGCUGCUAUACUGUUCUAAGAGGCUUGUUGUUUGGCUGUUGAGCCUCUUAACUUAACUAAAUUAAGAAUGUCACAGUAGGUUGGUAAUGCACUAUUUUAUAUAUCAAAUGUGUGCCAGUUUUAUGGACCCAUCACCUGUCUCAGAACGAGAUCUAUAUUUCUGUAAUGAUGUUUAUUACAUGUUGGCAACUGUAUAAUCAGCAGUUAAGUCUUUGAUACAAUUGUGACGGUACAGAUUGUAUCAAUGUGGCAAAAUAAUAUCACUAGCAAUAUAGAGUGAAACGUUAAUGGCAAGCUGCCAUAGCUGAUCAUGAGGAGGUUUUCUAGCAUAGAUAAACAUACAUAGUGCUAGUCCCUAUUCUGUGCCUUCGAGGGCACCCAUUAAUCAAAAGCAUAAUAACUUCUUUGCUUAAAGGAUCACUAUAGGGUCAGGAACACAAAAAUGUAUUCCUGACCCUAUAGUGUCAAAACCACCAUCUAGCCCCCCUGGGCCCUUCAUGCCUCCAUAAAUAUAGUAAAAUCUUACCCCUUAUUUGCUAACUCGUUAAAUGUAUCAACCAAUAAAGGUGUUACCUCUUUUUAAAAAACCUUUGUAAAAUAGAUUGUGAUAUCCAUCAGGGUCUGGUGCUUUACUACUCUCCAGUCUGCUUAUUGCAGCAUCUACUUCCUU